GGCCCUGGCUUGGCCCUCAGGGUGCUGCGGAGCAGGCUGAGUAACUUGGAAAUGGCCACUUCCCCUUCCCCACCCCCACCCUAUAGUGGUCGAGUCACUUCCCCUGUGCCCUCUGCAGCCUCUGGCCAGCCCCUUAGAGGUGUCACUUGAGGUCCUUGUGGCCAGGCAGCUCUGGGGAGCAGGGUAGUGGGGAGGUCCCUUCAGCCUUCAGCAUCCAGCCUCCCGUGCACCUGAUCUGCUUGCUUCCUUCUUGCUUUAAAACGUCUCCAGUCGAGGACCCUCCAACUUUCUCCACGGUCACCUGGCCAGACAGCAGAUGGGUAAGCCAUGACAUAGACUGAAAAUAACCAGGCUUUUGGCAAGACCUUGAUGCCUCUGUUCCAUCGGGAUCGACAGAAGGAAAUGAGACUCCAAGAUAAAGAUGAGCUCGACACAGCUUUUACACAGCUCUCACUUAACAGGAAGGCCCUGGGGGCCUGGGCUCCGAAUCCUCUGUAGCUCACACCUGCCUUGCCUGGAGAUGUGCUUGGUCUUAGGUUUUUUUUUUUUUUCUUUUCAGGGCCACAGUUGUGGCAUAUGGACAUUUCCAGGCUAGGAGUCCAAUCAGAUCUGAGCUGUCAGCCUAUAUACCACAGCCACAGCAACUCCAGAUCCGAACGGCCUCUGCAACCUACACCAAAGCUCAGGGCAACGCCAGGUCCUUAACCCACUGAGCGAGGCCAGGGAUCGAACCCAUAUCCUCGUGGAUAUUAGUCAGGUUUGCAACCUGCUAAGUCACAACAGGAACUCCUAAUUUUCUUUUUAAUGUUUUAUGUGUUUGAGCACCAGAAAUUUCAUUUGUUUGGUGAGCACUGGGAGCGAGGCCGCCACCUGCUGGUGAAUUUGUGAAUCACACUCAAGGGCCUCCAGCCUAGGCGGACCUUCAUUCCAUAACGUAGGAAAAACCCAAUUUAGACAAUCCCUUUUUCACUAGGAUCACUUGAUUCUUUAAAUUCUCUUGACUCUCCCUGGAGACAUCCUAGGUUCCUAGCAGAGAAGCCCAAAGUCCUGGGACACGGCUUAGAGAAAAAGGCUUUGAAGGAGGUGGAAGCUUGUUUGGCUCAGGAUCCUCUUCUCUGCACCUGCGAAUGAUCUCUUCCCAGGACCCCCUUCCCUACCUGCCAGGCAGCGCCCACUAUGCACCAGACACUGGGUGUCACAAUCGGGGGUCCCCAGAGAGAGGGGGAUGUGUGCACAGUUAUGGUGCAGAAGGACAGAGCCCGGGACGUGAGGGGCUCAGGAGGGGAGCCUCCUGGCAGGAAUGGGAACAGGGUUUGUGUGAGCGGUUACACGCACUAAGGAGCUGGGCCGUGUGGAAGCGGAAGGAAUUCCUGUUACCUGCUGCUGUGUAACCUGUCACCCAAACGCAGUAGCUUAUAACCACAGUCACUUGUUUUUCUCUCUUGUGGUUCUGGGCUUACAAGCUCAGCAGGACCGGUCUUGCUCAGGGCUCCCAUAUGAUGCAAUCAGGUGACAGCUGGCUGAAGUCAUUAUGGAGUGAUCUCUUGUCCCGUGGCAGAUGCUGGCUGGCAGCUGGGACCGUGUGCAGGAACCCCAGAAUGUAAGCAUUCCAGGAGGCCAGGCUGGGCUACGGGGGCAAGCAUCCCAGGCUGGACCUGGAGGAAGCUGCCUGGCCUUUCCCAAACCAGCCUGGGAAGGGGGGGUUAGAACUGCCCUUGCGCGCCGCUGACAGUCACAAACCCCACCCAGGUUCAGAGAAAGCAGACGCAGACCCUGCCUCUUGCUGUGCGCGUGUCGAGGUUCUAGAGGUUCUAGAAGCUUAAGGGCUAGAAAUAUCAUUGCAGCCCUUUUUGCAAAAGACGGUUUGCCAGAAGCAGGAAGGUCACUGCGGGUGGGUCCCUUCAGCCCUGGUGCCUUCAGAGAUGUGUUUCCUAAGAAAGAAAGCAGUUUACAGAUGGGGCUAAGAGAACACAGGAGGCACUGAGCUGACUUCACUAAGACUUGCAAAAACAUUUCUUUGAAAAGGAGGCCUCAAGAAAGGCGUGGGUGCAGGCUGCAACCCUGAGGGGGCGGCGGGAGGCUGUGGCUGUCAGCCAGCGCACCAGCCAAGGCAAUGGAGCAGUGGCCACGGAGGGAGCCGGUCAAGCGAGGCCCUGCCGGGAGGGACAUCCAGAGGGGGAAGAAUCGGGCUGGUGUCACAGCAGCCAGUGGCCAGAGACUCUGCCCCCUCUGAGUGUAGGAGCGGCAGUGUGCUGGGCCCAGAGCAGGAUGCAGGAAGCAGGAGAAGCUGUGGGGCAGCAGGAGAGACAAGCUGCAUGCACUCAUGUGGUAGCCCCUGGUCUGGAGUCCCUGCACAGAAGUGGAAAAUGUCCUCCUGCACAGCAAGAGCGGGAGAGAAGACAUUGCCCACGCAGAGAAGGCAGGUUGGCAGCAUGACGGGCACGGAGGGAGAUGGAGGACCAUGCCAGAGCGUCAGGGCCCAUGGCCUUGUGGGAGCAGGUCUGGGAUGCCCAGGACCCUCCGUGUCCCCCCACCAACCUUUUGGGAAGAACGGGUGAGCGUGGGUCAGAGGCUGGACAAGCUGGGGACGGCGAGGUGAAGCCUGGCUGUGGGGGGCUGCCCCCUCAGUGGUCUCCCCCUUGGUGGCUGCCCAGCAUCUUGGAAUCUUCCAGAGACACCACAUCCACCCCGAAACUGAAGGGAAAGAGCCAAGGUUGCUCUCUCCACGGAGUCCGGGAUGCAGCCUGCGGAGGACAAGAGCAGCCCUCUCUCCAGGAUGCAGGGUGUUAAACCCCAUCGCCCAUGUUUCCCACUUGUUUUUGAGCACUGGGGGGCCACCCUGAGCCCCCUGCUGUGGCGUGAUUUACUUGAAGGAGAUUACGCCGAUUCUUUGUAGCCUGGGAUGCAUAGACCUGGUACCAAUGAAAGCUUCUUUGCUGCAAAGGGCUAAAGAGAAGCAUGAAGUUGUGACUUGUUUCUCUUGGGGAACUUCUUCGAUCCAGUGCCUAGGAUAGCGUCUGGUCAUAGGAAGUGAGAAAAAAGG
rnacentral:lncRNA from 1 species